rnacentral:rRNA from 1 species
AUACGUAGGUGGCGAGCGUUGUCCGGAAUUACUGGGUGUAAAGGGAGCGCAGACGGAGAAGCAAGUCUGAUGUGAAAGCCCGCGGCUCAACCGCGGGACUGCAUUGGAAACUGUUUAUCUGGAGAACUGGAAGGGCAAGCGGAUUUCCGGGUGUAGCGGUGAAAUGCGUAGAUAUCAGGAGGAACACCGGUGGCGAAGGCGGCUUGCUGGGCAGUAACUGACGUUGAGGCUCGAAAGCGUGGGGAGCAAACAGGAUUAGAUACCCUGGUAGUCCACGCUGUAAACGAUGAAUACUAGGUGUUGGGAGGCAAAGCCUUUCAGUGCCGUCGCAAACGCAAUAAGUAUUCCACCUGGGGAGUACGUUCGCAAGAAUGAAACUCAAAUGAAUUGACGGGG